GACGAACGCUGGCGGCGUGCUUAAUACAUGCAAGUCAACGACUUUUAGAGUAGCAAUAUUUUAAAAGGAGUGGCGCACGGGUGAGUAACACGUAGGUAAUCUGCCUUCAGGACUGACACAACUCGUCGAAAGACGGGCUAAUAUCAGAUAAUGCAGCGGCUCCGCAUGGAGACAGUUGUUAAAGCACAAGCGCCUGAAGAUGAGCCUGCGGUCCAUUAGCUAGUUGGUAGAGUAACAGCCUACCAAGGCAACGAUGGAUAGCUGGUCUGAGAGGAUGAUCAGCCACACUGGAACUGAGACACGGUCCAGACUCCUACGGGAGGCAGCAGUAAGGAAUAUUGCUCAAUGGCCGAAAGGCUGAAGCAGCAACGCCGCGUGAAGGAUGAAUGGCCUUUGGCCUGUAAACUUCUGUAAAAGGGAAAACAAUCAGGCAUGUCCUGAUUUGAUUGUA
rnacentral:rRNA from 1 species